GUUGUGAACAGACCUAUUGAGAAAUCCAUGUGGUGAUAUAACUGAGGACUCUGAUCACCAGCCAGCGAAGACCUGAGACCUGGAUUGCUGCUAAAUUUCUCCCUGCUGAUUUGUCUGGGCUGAUGAGGCACUUUCUGCACCGGGGCUGUCCAGUAGAAACUUUUGCCCUCGUUUCAAUGCAGAGGAAAGUCCGACACCUAAAGAUGAGGGGAUUUCUCCCAAACCACACAGCUGGAAAACGAAGACUGUGAUGCCAUCCCCUCUCUGACACCCUUAUGAUGUAACGUCCUGAAGACUGCAAGGCUCUUGUGCAGGAAGCAAGCACCCCAGGCCUCACAGGGUUGAAUAUCAUUGAGCACUGUGAUGACUCUCCCGAAGCCCAGGGGUGUCUGGGACAUGGUGUCAUUCGCUCUAAUGAGACUUGCUGGAAAACCUACGGGGACAAGACAUCUUUAUGUGUUGGCCAUUGUGGAGAAUUUCCAGAGAACUGGAUACCAGGACGAUGGGGGCUGCUUCUCACAAUUUAUUUAUUUUUUUCUCCAAGAGCUGGUGGGAGAAUUUAUCUCUGGGUAUUAUCCAAUCUGUAUUCUGACCCCUUAUUCACUCAACUAAUAGCGGCUUAAGGAAUCAUCUUUUCCAGGGAUCAAAACUUUACAGUAAGAAUAGCUAGCUUUCUUUGACUACUAUUUCCCAAGAGCUCUGUUAAGAGUUUUACAUGCAUUUUCACAUUUAACUCUACAAGGAAGAUACAUUUUUUUUUUCCUUUAAGACAAAUGAGGCAUGGAGAGCUAACCCAAGAUCACAAAGUUACUGUGUCCUAGAGCUAAGAAAUGAACCCAGCUUUGUCUGCUGUCUGAUAGAUUGCCAGAAGGAUUAAAUAAGAUAAUGCAUGGAAAGCGCUUGCCCAAGUAUUUGAUACAGAGUAGGCACUCACUAAAUGUUAGCUAUUAUUAUUGCAUACUCUGUCACCCUCUUUUUUUGGACAAUGGGAUGUGGCAGAGAGGGCAGUUAAUGAUGCAAGCCUGUUGGUGCCCUCAAGUACCCACUGACUGAUUCCUUUGCCUGCCACUCACCCUACUGGGCACCAACCCAGGGCUCUAAGGGAAGCCAUGACUUAUUCCAGCCAAUGGGAAUUAGCUGUCACUUGACUUAACGUUUUGUAACAGGGCUCGACCCAUGCCAGUUAUGACUCCCGGGGGUCAUGUGUCAUCAGGUCAUAACUCUUGAAGAUCUUUUCUUUCCUGAGGACCUGGAUUCAGCAGCCCCUGGGAAAUAACCCAAAUGCAUUGCAACUGUUGUGUGCUAUAAAAAAACAUGUUGGAGAUGGAGUUGGUCCAGGAGGGAUAAGGAGAAAGAACGCAGUGUGGUUGAGGAUCAAGGAUCUUGGCUUAGCAAAUCAAUUAAUUAACCUUGUCUCUUGAGAAAUGCUAACCUUUGUGACAUUGGCCUUCAUGGGACCUUGGUAUGGCACUGCCAUGGCCCAGGGAUUGGGGGUCAGACAGUUUAGAGACUUUGAUAAAUAGGAUUUAAUUCAGUUUGUAAAACUAGCCUAUGGGGUCUCUGUUAUUUCAUAAAUGAGGAAACUGAGGCUCGUGGUGUCCAUUUUGAGAUGGUUUGAGCCUACUUUCCCCCUCUUCUCUCUCCUAAGGUGGGAGAUGUCUAAUAACCAUUUCUAAUCUUCUAUGUCCAAACAGAACCUUUGAAUUCUGUUCCCAAAACCUCCUGAAGCUUGCUCUUCACCCAACCUCCACAUUUUAUUGAUGGGCACUCUUAUGUAUCCAGUUCCUUAAGCCAAAACCUAGGGAUCUUCCACAAAUCCCCUCAGGCCCCACAGCUCCUCUUCAUUGAGACCUCUUACCUCGAUCUUGAAAACAUUUUCCAAAUCCUUGUGCUUUGCUCCAAAUAAACCAAAACCAUCCUAGUCAACGCCCCAUCCUCAACCCACCUUGACCACUCUGUUACCUUCCUAACUGGUUUUCAUCGUCCUUUGCCCCCCUCCAGUCUACUCUCUACACAGUUACCGAGUAGAUGUUUUCCCCAAUGAAAACCCGCUCCUUCUCUGGCCUGCUUAACAUCCUCAAAUACGACACUUAAAGUAAAACCCGCAUUCCUUACACCAAGCCUAUGGCAUUCCUCCAGAUCUGGUCCCUGAGUCCGUUCUGGAUAUCAUCUCCUACUUCAAGCCACACUGGGUUCUUUAUGUUCCUCUAACACCCCAACUUUUCAUCAAUGUCGGCGGCUUUGCUCUAGCUAGUCCCUCCCACUGGCUCCCUUUGGCCUCAGAUCUUUACACUGGGGCUCCUUCUUAUGGUUCCUUCUCAGCCCAAGCAUAACUUUCUCAUGGCUAACCCUGUCCACCCUACUUAGGGUAAAUCCUCCCCCUGGAUCGCUCUCUUUCAUGUCACUCUACUUCUAUUUGCCCAAGUGUGUGUCUCUGUCUGGUAUUAUCUUACUGAUUUGGUUUUGCAUUUAUUGCCCAUCUCUUCCAACUAGAAAGAAUGUGAAAUCCACGGAGCAAGAAUUGUGGCUCUUGGUGUUCACUGCCAUGUCUACAUUGCUGAGCCAAUGGUCUGAAACUGAAUGUUUGUUGAUCGAAUAAAUGACUACCAUUCUAAGGCUACGAUGGUUGUUUUGGGUCAGAACUAAUUCUAGAGGGGUUUCAUUAGGGAGAGAAUUCAAAUUGGUGUAUAAAUGUGGUCCCCAAUAUUGUUCCAAAUGCAAGUAACAUUUACAAAUAUUUUUAUUACUUUGGGUGAAUUUUGGA